GGGUUUGUGGCUCAGCGGUAGAGUGCUCGCCUAGCAUGUGUGAGGCCCUGGGUUUGAUCCUCAGCACCA
rnacentral:tRNA from 1 species